GGCUUCCAUUGUCUGUAUGAUGAAGCGCGGCACACCUAUCUAAAAAUAAUGUUUGUACGAAUGACCCCCCCCCCUCCACAACGGUUUUUUUCUUUCUUUACCUCCUUAGUGGCACAGCUUCAAGCCCAUUUGGAGAAAGUAAUCAGUUGCAGCUGAAUAUAAAAGACAUGCAGAAGAUUAGGCAACGGCCCUACUACAUCUAGCCCCAAUGCAUCAAAUGGCCAAGAUGCAACAGUUUGAUGGAGCGGCUUCUGGCGGUUGAUUUAUGAUUUGCAUGAAAUUGACAUGCUUGACACCUCUUUGACUCAAGACAGUCUUUUACCAUGGUUGGGCCAGUACUAGCCCAUUCUCUUGAUUCGAAAAUGAAGCUUGGGCCGGACUGGUGAGCCCCCCCCAAAAAACCACAUAUACCAGAGUGAACUUCUUCUAAGGCUUUAUUUGGCUUCGUUUUCUUCCAAGGCACGAAAAAAGCAGUCCCCUCAAAGGAACGACGAUAACGUGUACUAUUGUGUAAAUAAACGUGGAGCACGUCGCCGGGGCGUCCUUACGUCAGUUUUUCUAUGCGGAUUCUCAGGCAACUUCCCAGUUUGUAGAUAAUCAAUGAGUGAUUGCCCGCCACCUCUUUCUCGAUUUCAAUACCGAAAUGGCAUUAGCCUCAUUUCAUCAUUAUAUUCAGCAUCAAAGUUUGGGGAAAUUACCCAUCCUGACAUAUGAAAUACGAGCCUUUUACGUUGGGUAGCGCAUAGAAUAAUGCAGUUUUUGCCAGUGCAUCUGCUUGUCUAUUCUUUGUUCUCGGCACAUGCUCUAUAAGUGACACACCAAGCCAUCCAAUCAUUCGGUGGCAUAAUUAUAGUAUGGCACCAUUUCCAGGUUUUCUCACUUCAUAAAUGUUAAUAAGUUGAUUAAUUAUCAACUUAGAGUCCCCUAUACUUCAGCCGCAGCUGCUUCUGUCACACAACCAUUUCUAGUCCGAUUAAUGAGAGCUUGAUAUUCAGCUUCAUUAUUUUAGCAUAAUUUGUAAAGUGAAGGCGUAAGGUAGCACGUCUCCUUUCCGGGUGAGAAACACUACACCAGCCCUAUACACCCUCACGAUGAGAAGCACCAUCAAAGUCUCUUCCAUGGUAGUUUGCACUUGAAUUAAAAUGACGUCUUCUCUGGUAAAUUCUUCAACAAUUCCAAUCAGCAGGUAUUGGAUGAUCAGCAGAAUCAGCUAAGCUUGUCCUUGAUAGCCUUUUGAGGCACAUAGAUGAUCUCACUCUGAAGGAGAAGAGACCAUCUUGCUAAUCGAUCAGACAAGACUGGUUUUGUCAUGAUGUACUUGAAGGAUUAGCUUUAGAUAUAAGAUGACCGUGUUGUGCUUAAAAGAUGUGGCGCAACUUUGAACAUCAAAGACCAGAGCUAAAGCACAUUUUCUCAAUUGGUGAAUAUUUAGCUCGCAUCGUCCAUCAUUUCUACUCAAGUAGUAAAAGGCAUUUUCUCUUCCUUCGUCAAUUCCUUGAGCAAGAAGAGCCCCUACUGAACGCUCUUGAGCGGCGAUAUACAAUUAAUGGUCGUCCACGAAUAGGAGCCAACCACACUGGAGUUUCCAUUAAAUAAGCCUUGAUACUCUCGAGGCAUUAUUGCAGGCUUCAUCCCAUUUCCUUUUUCAUGAGGCACUGAAUGGUUGAACAACGACCAUCCAAAGUUGAUAUGAACCGACGAGAUAAGCCAACCUCCCUUGCAAACUUUUGAGUUCGUGAUAUUUCGAGUUCAGGCACCUUCAAAAUAGUUUCAAUCUUCGAUUGCUCAAUCUCUAGCCACGACUCGUACAAUGAAAUCCCAAGAAUUUUCCAGAUGUCACUCCAAAGGCACACUCAAAUGGUUCAUCUUGAGUUGUAUCGUCGGCAAUCUAUCCAACACUUUCGUCAAAUUUUUCCAGAUGAUUUUUGGAUCUCUCGUUUUCACAACUAGCUCGUCAACUAUAACAUUCAACAUUUUUUUGUGAAGCAUGUCAUCGAAAAUCUUUUGCAUUGCUUCUUUGAUAUGUUAGUCCGGCAUUCUUUAACCCAAAAAGGCAUGACUUAUAACAAUAGAUUCCUUUUGGCGUACGAAGGCCGUCAACUCCUCAAUCUCGUGACAAAUCCAUUCGAUUUGAUUGUAGCCAAGAACCUCCAUAAAGAUAAUGCCUCAUGUCCAGUAAGUAGCGUCUAUCAUGAGCUCAUUUAUAGGCAAUGGAAAGGCAUCUUUUGGACAAGCCUUGUUAAGUCUCGAAGUCAACAAAAAUUCGAAUUGGUCCAUUUUUCCUCUUAACAGGGACAAUACUUGAAAUCCAUGUUGGGUCACUUGACUUCUCGAAUAAAGCCAGCUUCAUAAGCUUGUUGACCUCUGUUUCAAUCUUAGGAAUUAAUUCUGGUCGAAAGCGUCGUUGUGCUUGUUUGAUCGGUCGAACGCCGCGUUUUACUGCCAAGUUUUUAUGGACCCCACUUUGGAUGCUAGUUUCCAGCAAAUUCUUUAUAACUCCAAGUAAAGACAUCCUUGUAUCAGACAACAACUCAAUAUACAUUUUUUGUUCCUCAGAAGUGGAAGAGCGCUUUAGUUGUAACUGGUCGGGUCAUCUAAUGUGCCAAGGUUAAUUUCUUCAGUCAUCAACAUGGAUUUAACACCUUCUUGAAUGCUAGCGAGCAUCCUCCGCAUCGUCCUCAGAGAAUUUUCUCCAUCAAGAGCAGUAAUGUGGUAUGAACAUGCAUCACUUUCUUCAAGGGCCCGGGACGUCUGAUGGCGCGGGGGUUUGGGGAGAGUUUUGGUAACUACGCAUGUUUUAGUCUCAUCUUCAAUACUUUAUCGGUAGUCACUACCAGAUAUAUGGCGUUUCAUACGGAUGGUAUUGCACUUCUGCAGCUUUUUCAUCAUCCUCCAAGAAGAAAUUAUAUUUUUCCUUUUUCUUACUUCUUUGGGUUUAGAAAGACUUGAAACACCCACACCUCUCAUGCACAACCUUCGUGAAAUAGGUUGAUGUAGGGACCGGCUUGAUGCCCUAAUCGAUCAAAUACUUAGUUUCUUGACUUUGGGCUUACCCAGACGAUCAAAAACCAGAGGGUUUUAAUUGAAGUUGGUAUGCAUUUUCUUCAGCUGUGAUUAUGGUGAUUGCUUGACUUCUUUAUCACAAUACGCCCAGGAGCAGGUGGGGUGUUACCAAGGCCAAUAUGAGAAUUUUGAACACAUACCCCUUUUGCGUGAGUUAUGUUUUGAGUGAAUUCAACCUGCAUAUUUUCUCCAAUGACUUCCAGAUGAUAAGUGUUUUCCCUAAGCAGUUGAACUCUUGAGGGCUAUAUCCACCUUUGCGAGAGUUUGUCAGGCAAUUGGAUCAAACCUUUCUUUGUCGUUUGUGAAGCAUAUCACUAAUGCUCCAUUUUCAAAACUUUGUUGGCGGUCGUGUAUGAACCCUUCAAUGGCGUAGAAAGUUUUGUCCUGGUAAAGCGGUGAUAGGAAAAAGUCAAUCCUUUCAAAACUUGUUCCUCACUAUUUCUUAACUGGGCAUAUAUCGAAUAACUAGGCGCUUUUGAGUUUUAUCUUCAUACUUCCCUUAUCCUUGUUAUGAUUUGUCUUAAUUUUUGUCAAUGAAGUAAAGUUUUCAAGGGUUGAACUUCAUUACCCUUUUGAAACCUUGUAGAUUGAUUAAGAGACGACUGGUUUGAAUCUUUCAUAGAUAUUUGCCAUAUAAACUUUAGCAUCAGCAAACUAUGAUUCCUGUUUCAAUAGUGAAAGGUUUUGCCAUGCACAAUCCUUUUUACGACACCGUUACUACAAUACGUGAAACAUUGGUGGAGGGUAGAUGGUCAACACCAUUCUCAUGGAGCCAAGGUCGUCCUAGCAAUAAAAAAAACAUGUUGUAUGAAGUCUUAGCAUCAAUGACGUGGAAUAAUGCACUGAUGUCAUGUCAUCGAUAGUAAGUCAAGACGAAGAACUCCAAUAGCUCUUUGUUCCUCCUUGAGUAAACCCUGUUCAUCCAAGCGACUAGGGGACAACUCCUCCAUCGUGAUGCCAAGUUUUUCAUAAGCAUGAAGAGACAAAUGUUGACAUCUGAUCCACCAUCCAGUCAAUCCUAUUGAUUCUUUGCUCUCGCGUAUAUCCGGUGAUGAAGAGAGGAUGAUGUGUGGCGUUGAACCAAGCAACAAAUCCUUCGUCUGCAGAAAGUAAUGUUUAACAAUGCAAGUACACAAUUAUUUGAACAGAUUGAUCUCAUGCCUCAAUUGGGAUCUGUUACAGGUCAAGAAAGGUGAGUCCCUCAACUUGCUUAGGUAUUCUUCGACAUCCUACGUCAUUUACUGCGAACCGCACAACUUGAUAUAUUGACUUUGGAAAUGACUUCCACAAAGUAAUAGGAGUGGCGUCAUUUUUUGAUAUAUAUAUCCUUUUGACAAUACAAUGCUAACCUUCUUGCAUUUCUCUUCUUUGUUGCUUCCUUGCUUUGGGCUUAGUGAAAACACAGCUUGAUUGGCACGUUUGAGAAUGUCGUGACUUUGGGGUUUCUUUUUCUUCUAUGUGUGACAGGGUCCCUCUUUCAUCAUCUAAGCAGUCCGACCUUUUUUUCACUUAUCAUCAUGCCCCCAUUUAUGAUAGGCAGCUUUGCAAGAGCAAGCUAUGCAAGUCCAACUGGUUCAAUCGAUCCAAAUUGGAUUUCUGAUCUUGACUAUGUAAGGAAUGAGGCUUUCAGGCUUCUGAUCUCUUUGUGAAAGAAUAUAGGAUCAAGGAUCCAAAGACAAUUUGCAAUUUGAGUUAGUAGUUGCCACUUCUUUUUUUUCUUCUUCCAGCGUAAUCUUCCCUUGUCUAGCUAAUCCCCAAAUCUUUCUUUCAACACAAACAGCGUUGAGUGGGUGGGCUGACCAAACGAUAUACUUUCAUAGUUUUGAUCGUUAACCUUCCCAGCCCUCUCCGGUCGCUUCAUCCUCCGGGAGCUAUGACUUUCAAUUCUAUAGUUUGAAUCAGCAUUUUGGGGACUUCAACACAGGAAAAGGGUACUUCUCUGUUUUGCAUCUCUUGUAGUGUGAGUGUUUCUUCAUUUUUCCUUGGGUAGAAUCAGCUUUCCCUACUCCUUCUUUUUGGACUUAGGCAGAGAUCUUGACUGGGGCAUGCGAUUACAUCCAUUGAGUCUUUGGUAUUUGUCUUGAGAAAGACUUAUUGCUCCCUUUUCGAUUGUUGAGUUUGAUUUCGCCCUUGUGGGGGUCUUGAAAAGUAGCUCUUGACUUCCAUUUGUAGCAACGCUGAGUUCCAUUCAUGGUCGCGUAGCCAGAUUCUCAAAGUUCUAGGCUUGAUUCCUUGAAGAAUAAACGCAAACCCCAUUGCAUGCCUUGAAUGCACAUCUCGAUUGCAGAAGUCUCACACAACCUAUGCCUGCAAUUCAGGCCUCAGUUUUCUCCAUCGAUUGAUGUAAUCGACGACUGGUUCAUCUUUCCAUUGUCGAGAACCUAGUAAGCUCAAUCAUACUAACAGUACGACGGUGGCUAUAGAGCGUAUUUCAGUAAACUCUUGUUCUAACUGCUCCCAACUAUCAAUUAAUGCGAGGCGGUCGGGUCGGUGACGUUGCAAUACCAUCAAAGCAUGGCCCUUGAGUGUACGAACAAAAUUGGCUUGACGAGAAAUCUCCAUCGUUCCAGCAGUUAUUGCACGUUCCACAAAAUGGGCAAAUAUGUUAUUUUGGAUUACCUUGGCCACGAAUGGGGUUGAAUUUUGGUGGUUGGUAACCCACAUGCAUCUUUAGUUGAUCGAUCCUUUGAGUGGUAGGGCUUAGCAAUAAGUGAGAGAAGAUUUUGGAGUUCCUUGUCUUUUGAAUAGCACCUAGAAUGAUCUCCUUCAAGUUUGGUCGACAGGGAUUUUGAUCCAUCAGCCAGAUUGUAAGUGAUGUGUUAGUCCUCCUUGUUGUUUUAACAGAAGACUCAGUAACAUCUUUGUAGUUUUGGAGGGUUGUCAGCAGCUUGAUUUGAUUCCCUAAACUUUCCUAACUUGUGUCAUCAUGGACGCCAUUUGGACAUCAGGUCUUCCAUCGUUUUGGCAUAAGCCUCAGAUAGUUUUUGUCCCAAGAUAACAGUUGUUCUUCCAUGGCAAGAGCAUUUGUUGUUCAUGACAUGGCAUGGCAACAGAACUGAAUGAACAGCGGAGAUAUCUGGUAGGUGAGCUUUGAUCGGAGAGUAUCAGAGGAGGACUGGAGUUGAGCUUGCUGAAUCCUCAAUCUCUUUAUCAAUCAUAUCUAUAUUUUGAGCAAAUUUUUGAGUUACAGAGGGGCUUAGGGGGGGGGUGGGGGGGUUGAACGCCUCUUCUAGCAUUGCAGCAGCGUCUUUGCCCCCAAUGUUAACAGUUUCCCCUUACCUUCCUGAAGUUUGAAAAAUUGUUGACGUUUGGUAAGUUGAACCAAAAUAGGAUGAAUUUAGGAUGAAGCGAGGUUUGAGCGGAAAGUCCUCAACAGCAGCCUUUGCUUGCGCUUCGAGUUGUUUGGACCGGACUUUGAGUGCCCGGGCCGUGUUGGUAGUUUGCUGAUAUUUAGAGCCUCCAGCUUCAUUUGAGCAGCCUUAGAAUCGUCCUUCUUAGGGCCAUUGCUAAGUUGCUUGAAUUACUUGUCGAAGAGGAGAUAUGAGAGGCAGAGAAUGUCCCCUGGGCGUGCCAAAAAUUUGUACACACAAAUUUCUUAUCUAAAUAAUAAGAACAGAAAAUCGUAGUAGCAAAUUAUUUUUAUUGCUUUUGAAUAAGCGGAUUACAAUCUCUGAAAUAAUUUCUAAACUAAGAAAUUAAUCCUCUUGAUUCUUCUCUUCUAGAACGUUGACUCGAGGGCUUGAGCUUGAUCCCGAAUUACACGCCGUGUUCCUUCUCCGACUUAUCGAAAAAUAUGAUGAAGGAGAAAGUUCUUAGCGCUUUGAUGUUGAUCUUCAGAGCUCUCUCUUAAAUCUUGUCUUCUGUCCCUUUUCUUUGAAGGGUCAGCCCCCUAUUUAUGUGGAUAGCGGUGAAUUCUGAUAAUCUGAACUGCUUGAUGAUAUUAUCUUUUAUUUAAUUUUAAGAGAUAAUCACUUAAGAGAUACAAAAAAUUAAUAAUAAUUAAUCUCUAUUUUUAAUUGAAGAGAUAAUAAUCAAAGUUAAAAGAGAUUAUCUCUUAUUUAAUUUGGAAGAAUAAUUUUCAAUUUUAAAAAAGAUAUUUAAUCUCUAUUUAAUUGAAGAGAUAAUAAUUAAUAAUAUUAUCUUCUUAUUUAAUUGGACAGUGGCACAUUUUUGAUUGCUUAAAACUUGUCAUUUGAAGCUUUGGUUGGGGUUUUCAUCUAUAUUGUGGCGAUAUUUUAUUCGCUCCAUCUUGCAGAAUUUGACACCUGUCAACAUUUGAUUAGUCAAAAUUUGUGACUUUUUUUUCAUAAGACACUUGCCAAUUUUUUGAUUGGCUAUAAUUUUUUUGAGUGUCUACACUUGUUUUCAUUAUUGGUAUAAAAAAUAGUAUCUUUUAACCCAUUUAUAAUUUUUUAAUGGUUAUUUUUAUUUAAAUAUAUUUUUAUUAUUUAUUUAUUAUAUAACUGGUUGAACAUGUUCAACUACGAUUGAACCAGUGAAUCGAUGCCUUGACUAGUUCAAUCAUCGGUUCGGUUCGAUUCUAAUAACUAUGCUCAUGAUUCAAUCUUCCCCCAAAUUCGCAUGAAAUAUACAAACUUUUCUUAAUAAUAAUUCAAUCAUUUAACUAACGCCCUCUAAAUUUAAAAUUUACAAUUGGUUUCGUUUCAAUAAAACUUACUAUUCAUAACUUUUUUGGAAAAAUUACAGGGAAAAAAAUAGCAUUUGAGCUUGCUAACAUAUUAAAUUCUAAACUUUUAAUUUUAACAAUUAAAACUCAAUACUUUUUAACUUAUCACAAAUCCAACAAUCCAUAGCUUUCAUUUAUUUAUUUUUUGAUAACUCUGUAUCCGGCCUAAAAAUCGACAAAUGUGAAACACGUGGAGGUUAUGCAUGUUUGGCAAAACACAACCAAACAAAAAUCCUGUGUUGGCAAUGGCUUGGGUGUUCUUUAUUCUAUUUGUACGUGGAGGUUAUGAAAAGAGAAAUUAGACAAUUGGCCUAAGAAAGAGCCGACUCGGACGAAGACUUAUUCGGUGAGAGUUAUUUAAGACAUAAUUUUUAUAUUAUGUGAGAAAGAAUUGAGAGAUUUAACUUAAAAUAAAUUGAUAAUAAAUAGAGUAGUUUCAAGAUUAUAUAUAUUGAAUUUUAUUAUAAUCUUUUAUAAUUCUUUAAAAAUAUGAUCUACUGCAAAAAAUUAAGUUAAUCAUAUACCAGUAACCACAUAAUCAAACAAUAUUUGUCUUAUAGUGUAUUGUGAGAGUCAUAUUUUGUUCAUUUUUUUCAAAACAUACGUUUUUAAAAUAUGUGGCUAUUAAUAUCCGAUUAAUCUUUUUUUAUUAACAAGUUCUACUAAAUUAAUAAUUUGGAUCAUGAAAAUAAACCAGCGAUGGGGUCCAAACUCAUAUUUUGUAUGCCAUAAGCUUAAAAAACUGUCACUAAAAAUUACCCUCAUUUAUAAUUAGCUAAAAUAGUUGAGUUCAUUAUUUUGACCGAUCACAAAUAAAAAUAGUGUCAUUUUUAGAUUUUAAAAAAAUAAAAGAAAAUCUGUGGAAUUGAAAUAGAAAACACUAAUCAGCGGUGUUUAAAGGAUAACAAAUAUAUUAAUCAACAUAAAAAAAAUAUAAAUAUAUUUAUAAAUGUAUUAAACUAUAUAGAAAAUAUAUUAACAACAGUAAAAACUGUGAAUUAGCCAUCAAGACUUUGGGAUGGGUGGGAGGUGUCUGCCAAUAUCAUUUUAAAUAUGUAAAUAUUAUAAAUUUCAUUGUAAAAAUCAAUAUUUAAUAAAUAAAUAUGUCAUAUUAUAAUUGAUAUAAAUUGACAUUGAUCGAUUAUAAAUUUAUAUUCAAUUAAUAUAAUUUUUUAUAGUAUUAAUGUUAUUGAUAAGGUUUACAAUAUUAACAAUUUGAAUUUUCAAAAUGAACUCAAAAUACUUAUAGAUUGCACCGAUAAAAUCUAUAUUUGGACCUAAUCCUUUCUUAAAUGUGUCAAUUUCACCAAUCAUUAUGUAGUUAUUCACUUUCCACGUAAAAGACAUUCUUUCCAAAAUUAUCUCACAUUUGUAAUCUAUUCAUUCUCAUUUUCUUUUAUUAUUCUAAUAAAAUGAAUUAUUGAAUUUGAGUUCCUUCGUAUUUUUCUUUCAAAUUCUACAUAUACUUUGAAAAGUCAAAAGCCAUCAAUCCACAAAUCAAUGAGGAAUGGGGGAUAUAAGUUUUAUGGAAAUAAUGGCUACUAGAAAAUAUAAGUAGGGAGAAAUAGAAGAAAAAAAAUUAUCAAAAAAUUAUAAAUUACCGUGUUUAAACUAACUUUUUUUUAUAGAUCUUUUAGUUGUAUUUGGAUUUUUGAGUGUUCUUAUUUAGUGACGGUUUUAAUAGUUUUGAAUCAAAAUUUCAUACUUUUUUUUUUGUUUCUCCUCACGAGAGUAGUUGAAAAUCUAAAAUCUUCAUCUAAUUUUUUUUUUUUUUGAUAUGAAAAAUUUAUAUCUAAUUUUAGUUUUUGUUUAAGUUCACUAAAAAUAAUAAAAAUAAAAACUUUUUAAUCAAUAACAUCCUUUUCCUAAUUUAAACUAAAUCUUUUUACAGUUCAAUUUGCCUUGCUAGGAGGAAUUAAAAAAGGAUAAAAUCUUAAUAAAACGUAAAAUCUUUAAAAAAUUAAAAAAUCACAACAGUUAAAAAAAAGUAGGCCAACGUGGCCAGUAUUAUAGUUUUUAUAGGUAAUUUCAUAAUUAUAACUCUUAUAUUCCACAAAAUCCCAUCGCAUGACAGCACGUGACAUUAUUAGGUUGUAUUUGGAUGGAGGAUUUGGCGAUGGAAAAUAAAAAAUAAAAAAAUUUAGGGAAAUCAACCUGAAUCAUUAGAUCUUUUAACUUUUAUGUUUCCAUUUUUUUUUUCUCGGCAAGAAUCUUUUAUCCAAAAAGUCUAACAAGGAUAUCACAAAUAGA
rnacentral:lncRNA from 1 species